UCCUAAAUUCACUGCGUGUGCAUUACACCCAAUUCUGCCUUUCCGAGGACAGAAACUUUAGGGUAGUGGCAAGAAAUCUUGCAGCAUCUACAACCAAGGAACGUCGAGUGGUCAACCUGUAAAAUCCAGGAUGUAACCAGUCCAGGACGAGCCCUUCCAUCAGCGCUGGUUUAUUAACCUCGCCCAGGCCCCUAACAACAAGGAAGCUCUCAAGAUCGCUAGGGUCGGCAGACAACGGGUGUAAAUGGCGCUGCCUCCGUUUGAGCUUCUGUUGCUUUGAAUUCGACCACACGAAUAACUAUUGUUUAAAGCGACCAGUCCGUUGCAGAUGAGCUGAGGACCACUGGACAGCAGAAAGCAUGAAGUCAUGAUGCUUAAAAAUCGUCAAUCUGCCGUGAACGUCUCUCAGCAAAACUACCAACUUGGUCCAUCAACGCCCAAGGUUCUUAUCCUGAACCGCAGAUGGAUACGAAGUCCAUAGCUCAGGUUCUUAUGGAGUUGCAGAGGUCAGCAGCGUGCCUCACAACGGCAGUAGCAGGUAUCCUGCAAUCCCUCGACCAACUGCGUAACGCAGGUUCAACGUUAUCUUUGGUAAUUACAAUAGAGAACAUUCAUCUGAUUUCCAACAAACUCUUGGUAUACGACUGAUCGUUUCCUUGGUUAAUGGUAAAUAUUCAUAAAACAAAAUCAAUAAUCUUGACAGAUAGUGUCUGUUCUUCGUUUAUUGUUUCAAAUUACGUUUUAACGUUUAACCAUAAACUUCACGCUGAGCUUUUUCCCAAGCAGCCAUUGGACCGUGCUCGGGUCGGUAUUUGACAUUGCAACCAUCGGGAGCGAGACGAUUAUCAUCGCGGAGCUCUUCAUAGCGCUCUCGGUCGUACUUGGUGAAUCCCCACUUCUUU